GCAAGUCGAGCGGUAACAGAUCCAGCUUGCUGGAUGCUGACGAGCGGCGGACGGGUGAGUAAUGCAUAGGAAUCUGCCCGAUAGUGGGGGAUAACCUGGGGAAACCCAGGCUAAUACCGCAUACGUCCUACGGGAGAAAGGGGGCUCCGGCUCCCGCUAUGGGAUGAGCCUAUGUCGGAUUAGCUAGUUGGUGAGGUAACGGCUCACCAAGGCCACGAUCCGUAGCUGGUCUGAGAGGAUGAUCAGCCACAUCGGGACUGAGACACGGCCCGAACUCCUACGGGAGGCAGCAGUGGGGAAUAUUGGACAAUGGGGGCAACCCUGAUCCAGCCAUGCCGCGUGUGUGAAGAAGGCCCUCGGGUUGUAAAGCACUUUCAGCGAGGAAGAACGCCUAGCGGUUAAUACCCGCUAGGAAAGACAUCACUCGCAGAAGAAGCACCGGCUAACUCCGUGCCAGCAGCCGCGGUAAUACGGAGGGUGCAAGCGUUAAUCGGAAUUACUGGGCGUAAAGCGCGCGUAGGUGGCUUGAUAAGCCGGUUGUGAAAGCCCCGGGCUCAACCUGGGAACGGCAUCCGGAACUGUCAAGCUAGAGUGCAGGAGAGGAAGGUAGAAUUCCCGGUGUAGCGGUGAAAUGCGUAGAGAUCGGGAGGAAUACCAGUGGCGAAGGCGGCCUUCUGGACUGACACUGACACUGAGGUGCGAAAGCGUGGGUAGCAAACAGGAUUAGAUACCCUGGUAGUCCACGCCGUAAACGAUGUCGACCAGCCGUUGGGUGCCUAGCGCACUUUGUGGCGAAGUUAACGCGAUAAGUCGACCGCCUGGGGAGUACGGCCGCAAGGUUAAAACUCAAAUGAAUUGACGGGGGCCCGCACAAGCGGUGGAGCAUGUGGUUUAAUUCGAUGCACGCGAGAA
rnacentral:rRNA from 2 species